rnacentral:tRNA from 1 species
GUACGGAGAGUUUUGAGUUCUUUGGUGCAGGCUCGUUACCUGUCUUUCUAGUU